UGGGGAAUAUUGGGCAAUGGGCGAAAGCCUGACCCAGCAACGCCGCGUGUGGGAUGAAGGCCCUCGGGUCGUAAACCACUGUCAGGAGGAAAGAAAAGUCGGCCGGAUAAUACUCGGUCGACCUGACGGUACCUCCAAAGGAAGCACCGGCUAACUCCGUGCCAGCAGCCGCGGUAAUACGGAGGGUGCAAGCGUUGUUCGGAAUUACUGGGCGUAAAGCGCGUGUAGGUGGUCGAGUAAGUCGAAUGUGAAAGCCCCGGGCUCAACCCGGGAAGUGCAUCCGAAACUGCUCGACUAGAGUCCCGGAGAGGAAGGCAGAAUUCCCAAUGUAGGGGUGAAAUCCGUAGAUAUUGGGAGGAAUACCGGUGGCGAAGGCGGCCUUCUGGACGGUGACUGACACUCAGACGCGAAAGCGUGGGGAGCAAACAGGAUUAGAUACCCCCGUAGUCCCUGAG
rnacentral:rRNA from 1 species